UACGUAGGGUGCGAGCGUUGUCCGGAAUUAUUGGGCGUAAAGGGCUCGUAGGCGGUUUGUCGCGUCGGGAGUGAAAUCCACUGGCUUAACUGGUGGCUUGCUUUCGAUACGGGCAGACUGGAGGUAUGCAGGGGAGAACGGAAUUCCUGGUGUAGCGGUGAAAUGCGCAGAUAUCAGGAGGAACACCGGUGGCGAAGGCGGUUCUCUGGGCAUUACCUGACGUGAGGAGCGAAAGUGUGGGGAGCGAACAGG
rnacentral:rRNA from 1 species